UCACCUCAUAAUGAUGGCGCGGUGCGGUGCGAUGAAGAACUCAUAAAUUUCGCGCUCAUUCGCCAUCAUUUUAAGGUGU
rnacentral:pre_miRNA from 1 species